GACGAACGCUGGCGGCGUGCUUAACACAUGCCAGUCGUACGGUAAGGCCCUUUCUGGGGUACACGAGUGGCGAACGGGUGAGUAACACGUGUGUAACCUGCCCACAACUUUUGGAUAACGCUAGGAAACUAGUGCUAAUACUUGGUAUUUGCUCCUGCUGCAUGGUGGGGGUUGUAAAGCUCCGGGGGUUGGGGAUGGACUCGCGGCCUAUCAGCUUGUUGGUGGGGUAGUGGCCUACCAAGGCGGCGACGGGUAGCCGGCCUGAGAGGGUGACCGGCCACAUUGGGACUGAGAUACGGCCCAGACUCCUACGGGAGGCAGCAGUGGGGAAUAGUGCACAAUGGGCGGAAGCCUGAUGCAGCAACGCCGCGUGCGGGAUGACGGCCCUCGGGUUGUAAACCGGUUUCAGCAGGGACGAAGCUUUUUGUGACGGUACCUGCAGAAGAAGCACCGGCUAACUACGUG
rnacentral:rRNA from 1 species